rnacentral:rRNA from 1 species
UCAGGACGAACGCUGGCGGCGUGCCUAAUACAUGCAAGUCGAACGGUCUUUCUAUGGAAGCUUGCUCCACCGAGAAGAUAGUGGCGAACGGGUGAGUAACACGUGGGUAACCUGCCCAUAAGAGGGGGAUAACAUCCGGAAACGGGUGCUAAUACCGCAUAGUUUUCUUGAUUGCAUGAUUGAGAAAGGAAAGACGGCCUUUGUGCUGUCGCUUAUGGAUGGACCCGCGGCGUAUUAGUUAGUUGGUGAGGUAACGGCUCACCAAGACGAUGAUACGUAGCCGACCUGAGAGGGUGAUCGGCCACAUUGGGACUGAGACACGGCCCAAACUCCUACGGGAGGCAGCAGUAGGGAAUCUUCCGCAAUGGACGAAAGUCUGACGGAGCAACGCCGCGUGAGUGAAAGAAGGUUUUCGGAUCGUAAAACUCUGUUGUCAGAGAAGAACAAGUUGGAGAGUAACUGCUCCAGCCUUGACGGUAUCUGACCAGAAAGCCACGGCUAACUACGUGCCAGCCGCGGC